AUGACACGUCGUGUACACACUCACAGCAUCGUGUACACACACACACACACAGCAUCUUGUACACACACACACACACACAGCAUCUUGUACACACACACACACACACAGCAUCAUGUACACACACACACACACACACAGCAUCAUGUACACACACACACAGCAUCAUGUACACACACACACACAGCAUCGUGUACACACACACGCAGCAUCAUGUACACACACACAGCAUCAUGUACGCACACACACAGCAUCAUGUACACACACACACAGCAUCGUGUACACACACACACAGCAUCAUGUACACACACACACACACAGCAUCGUGUACACACACACACACACACACACACAGCAUCAUGUACACACACACACAGCAUCAUGUACACACACACACACACACAGCAUCGUGUACACACACACGCAGCAUCAUGUACACACACACAGCAUCAUGUACACACACACACAGCAUCAUGUACACACACACACAGCAUCGUGUACACACACACACAGCAUCAUGUACACACACACACACACAGCAUCGUGUACACACACACACAGCAUCAUGUACACACACAGCAUCAUGUACACACACACACACAGCAUCAUGUACACACACACAGCAUCAUGUACACACACACACAGCAUCAUGUACACACACACACAGCAUCAUGUACACACACACACAGCAUCAUGUACACACACACACACACAGCAUCAUGUACACACACACAGCAUCAUGUACACACACACACACACACAGCAUCAUGUACACACACAGCAUCAUGUACACACACACACAGCAUCAUGUACACACACACACAGCAUCAUGUACACACACACACAGCAUCACGUACACACGCACACAGCAUCAUGUACACACACACACAGCAUCGUGUACACACACACACAGCAUCAUGUACACACACACACAGCAUCGUGUACACACACACAGCAUCAUGUACACACACACACAGCAUCAUGUACACACACACACAGCAUCAUGUACACACACACACAGCAUCGUGUACACACACACACAGCAUCGUGUACACACACACACACAGCAUCGUGUACACACACACACAGCAUCAUGUACACACACACAUCAUCAUGUACACACACACACACACACAGCAUCGUGUACACACACACACAGCAUCAUGUACACACACACACACACAGCAUCAUGUACACACACACAGCAUCAUGUACACACACACACACAGCAUCAUGUACACACACACACAGCGUCAUGUAUACACACACAUGACAACGAUGAUACCCCGGCACAGGGGCCAAACAGGCAGGAUAUAA
rnacentral:lncRNA from 1 species